rnacentral:rRNA from 1 species
UACGUAGGGUGCGAGCGUUGCCCGGAUUUAUUGGGCGUAAAGGGCGCGUAGGCGGCUACGCACGUCCGUUGUGAAAUCGCCCGGCUCAACUGGGCGGGGUCGGCGGAUACGGCGUAGCGUUGAGCAAGCUAGGGGGCAAUGGAAUUCCCGGUGUAGUGGUGGAAUGCGUAGAUAUCGGGGAGGAACACCAGUGGCGAAGGCGGUUGCCUGGGGCUUUGCUGA